GGAGAAAGAUCAAUUAACCAAACUAUUUAAUAACCAAUUUAAAACUUUUAAAACAAUACUACUGUGUAUUAUGGAAUUACACAGAUGCAUUUAGAGCACACUGAAAAUAUACAAUUGUUUAUUUCAUGCAUUGACAGACAAAACAGACGCAAGAACAUCAACUCGCAACUGGCUCUGUUACCCAGGUGUGAGUGACAUGACUCAGAGGAGGGACUCGAAGUGUUCACAGAUCUCACAUAACGUAAUAUGUCUGACUGUGACAGAAACGAUUCAGUCGGACUUUUCUCAGAGUGAAUACUUUGACAAUGACUCUUCAUUCAGUUCUUCUGUUCUGUGUCUCAGCAGCGGUUGCCUUUGGAAAUACUAUCAGUCCAGAUACGACAGACGUUAGAGCUGAUGAGGGUCGAAAAGCUACACUGUCCUGCAGUUAUUCCUCCUCUGGGGGAGUAGAUAAUCUCUUCUGGUACCGUCAGUAUGGACGAUCAAAACCUGAGUUUCUUGUAGCCACACACAGUAAUUCAAAGGAAGAUGAGGUAUCUGCUGUGGAUUCAAGAUUUUUGGUUAAAGUCACAAAAGAGGAAAAAAUCCAUGUGAUUCUGGAGAUCUCCUCUGCUGCUGUAUCAGACUCUGCUCUGUAUUACUGUGCUCUGAGGCCCACAGUGACAGGAAACACAUCAACACUGUACAAAAACCUUUUAGUGUACAAUCCAGUUAAAACAAGCAAUAGAUAGAAUCAAAUAUUUAAAGGUAAUAUGUAAACUGCAGUUGUAAUUAAUUCAAUAAGUGAAUAAAAAAAGAAAAUGAUCUGAUGAAUCCCAGUGUAUUUAUGUAAAAUAGCUGAUGAAAAGAUGUGACAUAAAAAUCUAAUGAAGCAUACUAAUACUGUCAAUUACAUU